rnacentral:misc_RNA from 1 species
GAUGAAGAACGUAGCGAAAUGCGAUAAGUAGUGUGAAUUGCAGAAUUCAGUGAAUCAUCGAAUCUUUGAACGCACAUUGCGCCCUUUGGUAUUCCAAAGGGCAUGCCUGUUCGAGCGUCAUUUGUACCCUCAAGCUUUGCUUGGUGUUGGGCGUCUUGUCUCUAGCUUUGCUGGAGACUCGCCUUAAAGUAAUUGGCAGCCGGCGUAUUGAUUUCGGAGCGCAGUACAUCUCGCGCUUUGCACUCAUAACGACAGCGUCCAAAAGUACAUUUUACACUCUUGACCUCGGAUCAGGUAGGGAUACCCGCUGAACUUAAGCAUAUCAAUAAGCGGAGGA